rnacentral:lncRNA from 1 species
CUUGAUCAAAUCAGAGAAACUUUGAAUCGAUUCAAACCAGUUUUACGUUGCAGUAAGGUUUCGUGUGGAUUUUGGCCAGUUGAUUGAUUUCCUGAUUUCGGCCUUCGUGAUGGUGGAGGGGGAGGAGAACGGGUCCCAUCAUUGCUCCAGCGGGCCUUGCCGGAAGACGGGAGGGAAAGGAACCGGUCUGCGAUCGAGGAAGCGGAUUGGCGUUUAACUUUCCGCUGGAGGUGGCGGUGCGUGCCAUAACCAAGUAGGAGGAGGAUCAAACGGCAUGUAAUGGAUGAGGCGGCGUUUCUGAUCCGCCGGAGGUUUUUAUACGGUAACCAAAAAUAUUCCAAUCAGAUCCUGCUGACAACCCAGCGUCUCCGUUUUGUCCCAGGGAACGGAAGCUGUAACGAUCGCAAAAACACCUGCACCGGACACUUCCGGUAAACUGAUGUUGUCCCGUACUCCGGUGGCCAUCAAUCCGUGGGAAAUAAACGGAAGCAAACUCGAAAAGAUGGCUGACAAAGUCCGGCCAAGAUGCCGAAGUGACGAGAUGAGCUGAAAGGCCAACCGGAAGACAACGCCAAAAAAA